UCAAAGUUACUCUAGGACCUCGUCAUGGGGUGCAUGGUUGAGGCCAGACUGGUGCCAUGUUUGAGUUCCAGCUGGUGAGAGAGCGAAAUUAUGUGCAAGGUUUUAUGUAUGUGUAAGUUUUUGUGAACUUGGCCUGGAAGUGGUCCGUAUCCCUUCUUAGUCACCUGGCCGUGCCUAGCUGUGAUGGACGGUGGAAAAUGUAGACCCUGACUGGACAGUCACAUCCCAGCUCAAUUCUAUGAUUGUGGACGAUGGGGAAGAUGGAUUUUGGUAGACAAUUGGCCAUCUCACUGCAAUGUAUUGCUUCCCCCCUCUCAUUUCUGGAAUUGUUUCUUCCCUGCUUACUUUGUUUAGUAACUUUCCCCUUCUUUUCUAUCUCAUGGCAACCUCAGGGACACAUUAUGUAACCAGUGAGUAGGUUUUAGUUCAAGAAGAAGGCAAUAGUUUUGUUCUAGGUAGUUGUUGGGCAAAGUGGAUAGAAGUGCCCUCCUAUACCAUCUGACUCUUUAUAAUAAUCAUAUUUUGAGGGCUUACUUCCUGUAAGGCAUGGAGCACAUGCAGAGACAUCAUGUCUGUUUACCAUACAUAGGAGUUCCAGAAAACAGCCUGUGUGGAUGAAGAGUUAAGGGCACAUGCACCUACAGAGUGAGAUUAGAACCAAAUCAUAGAAUCCAGAUAUGUAGCCAUGUCCUACCCUGCAGGGAGAGUCCUACGUAGCACAUGCAGAGAAGCUUGGACUGGAUGGGAAGGAAUGUGCAUUCGGUGUGUGCUUCACAAAGGACGUGCUAUGGAAGAACCUCACACUCUGAGUAACCCCUCCCUUCCAUCUCAGGACUGGACAUACAGCCUUGAGCCUUAGCAACGAUGGGUCUUAAGGGGCUUGCUCUGUGGAAAUCAUGGUUUCUUCUAUUCAAAUGGUCCCAUUCAGUGUUCUGUGGGUCUCCUGAUAUCUAGGGGCAUCCUCAAAUAGAAGUGACUGGACUGUCAGGAGGAGCGUUUUCUGUAUCUGUUGGGGAAGUCUGCCUGGAUUCUGUAGGAGACCAGAUGAGAUGACCUCUAGUUCCUUUCCAAAUCCGGGCCUGUGUUCUAAGGUUAAAUGGAUAUUGUUCUAAGGUGUCAGACAUCCUGAACCACUAACAUCUGGUCUUUUCUUCCGCCUCAUGGAAAAGAGGAUGCCGCUUUCUGCCACAGAUGGCCUAUCCUGGGAAAACUGGAGGAGCUGCUGGACAAGAGUUGGGGGUGAAAAGGGUCCCCUGACCCUCCAGCUCUCAGAAAGCUGCGUCUUCCAGCAGUAUCUGGAACAUUCUGACAGGUGGAUCUAAGCUCACAGCAGGACAUCUAAUGGAAGAGAGUAGCAGGUGAUGUGAGACUGGAACUCAGGAAAGACAACAAGGGGGUCAGCAACCCAGAAGAGAGGUCAAGAGAAGAGCGACAGACAGAGCACUGGGACGCAGGAAAGCUGUACUCAGCGUCAGGAGGAAGAAGCAUUGGCAGAGACAGAGUGAUCAGGAGGUAAACAAACUCGGGAGAUGCAAUAUAAGGGAAACUGGAGAGGAGACAGAUUCAGGGGCCUGACGCAAAAGAUGGCCAUUUUUACAGGACCUGGUGACUAGCUGGCUGUGGGAGUGUCUGACACCUUUGGGGUGCAGAUCACGAGAAAUCCAGGAAGAAAGCUAGAGAGUGAAGACUCACUUCAUUGGCUCCUGAGUCUACAGUCUGCGUCUUUCCUGGGUUUCAGCUACCUCCUGCCUUUCGGGUCUAUUAGCUGCCCUCCCGAUACAGGAAAAAGAAUAUGGGGCAAGAGGAUGGCCGUGACCCAGGUCUCGGUUGAGUCCCUGGGACAUGUCCCACCAAGCGUGGGUCCUUGCCUUCUUACAGGAAAGAAUUCAAGAGUGAGCCACAGUUGAGUAAAGGUAGAUUUAUUCAGA